GAUGAACGCUGGCUACAGGCUUAACACAUGCAAGUCGAGGGGAAACGACGGGGAAGCUUGCUUCCCCGGGCGUCGACCGGCGCACGGGUGAGUAACGCGUAUCCAACCUGCCUCUGACUGAGGGAUAACCCGUCGAAAGUCGGCCUAAUACCUCAUGGCAUCGUCUGCGGGCAUCCAACGACGAUUAAAGAUUUCAUCGGUCAGGGAUGGGGAUGCGUCUGAUUAGCUUGUUGGCGGGGUAACGGCCCACCAAGGCUACGAUCAGUAGGGGUUCUGAGAGGAAGGCCCCCACAUUGGAACUGAGACACGGUCCAAACUCCUACGGGAGGCAGCAGUGAGGAAUAUUGGUCAAUGGGCGGGAGCCUGAACCAGCCAAGUAGCGUGCAGGAUGACGGCCCUAUGGGUUGUAAACUGCUUUUAUGCGGGGAUAAAGUGAGGGACGUGUCCUUCAUUGCAGGUACCGCAUGAAUAAGGACCGGCUAAUUCCGUG
rnacentral:rRNA from 1 species